rnacentral:rRNA from 1 species
AGUGAACGCUGGCGGUAGGCCUAACACAUGCAAGUCGAACGGCAGCACAGUAAGAGCUUGCUCUUACGGGUGGCGAGUGGCGGACGGGUGAGGAAUACAUCGGAAUCUACUUUUUCGUGGGGGAUAACGUAGGGAAACUUACGCUAAUACCGCAUACGACCUACGGGUGAAAGCAGGGGAUCUUCGGACCUUGCGCGAUUGAAUGAGCCGAUGUCGGAUUAGCUAGUUGGCGGGGUAAAGGCCCACCAAGGCGACGAUCCGUAGCUGGUCUGAGAGGAUGGUCAGCCACACUGGAACUGAGACACGGUCCAGACUCCUACGGGAGGCAGCAGUGGGGAAUAGUGGACAAUGGGCGCAAGCCUGAUCCAGCCAUACCGCGUGGGUGAAGAAGGCCUUCGGGUUGUAAAGCCCUUUUGUGGGGAAAGAAAAGCAGCAGGUUAAUACCCCGCUGUUCUGACGGUACCCAAAGAAUAAGCACCGGCUAACUUCGUG